CUCAUUCGGUAAAGCA
rnacentral:tRNA from 1 species